UCCACGUCGGCAAAAAGGUUCUCGGGCGCCCGAUGCGCAUCGUGCGGCUCUCAGCGUGGGCGGAGGGUUCCAGCUCGUGCGGCCGCGCCGGGCCCGCGUCUCAGUUGCUUGCCUUCCGCCGAUCUGUCUGGAUGGGGCAUCGCUCGCCACGCGCCGGUUGGCUCUUGUGUUGCUCAACGCUGGUAUCCGGUCUCUUGCCUUGCAUCGGCUCAUCGGUGCGCGUGCCUUCCGGUGGGCGCUUUCUUGGCCUCGACGCCGGCGGAUAGAGCUGGACACUCCGCCUCGUUGCUUUUUUCCUUCUCCCUUUUGGUUCUUCUGCUGUGCUUAGGUUCUUGCGUGAGCAUUGUUCUCCCUUCUGGUCAGUGUCUGCUUUGUUGUCUUUGCUCAAUGCCUGCUCUUGCAUUUCGGAUGCUUUGCCAUGCCGAUUUUUGGCUUGCUUUUGCUGUCGCUCCCCCCCCGGAUUGGGUCGCUGCGCUGAUUUUCUCCGCUCUGGAUUGGGUCGCUGUGCUGAUUUUCUUCGCCACUACAAGAUCCAUGACCUUUUCAGCUUUAUGCCUUCGAUUUGGUUUCCGUUUUUGGUUGUGCCUUUGUAUAGCGAUGUGGUCGGAAGAUGGUUUUGCUCGUUCUUCUAUGCCCUUCUUCACCCUUUUCGCGUUGCUAUCUGGGACUCUCUUGAUGUCGGUAUGGAUUGGUUUUUGUUUCUUUGCGCGGUUCCUCUGCUCUCGCUUUCUCCCGUAUGGUCGGAUUUUUUUGCCUUUCGACGGUUUCUAGAUUCCGACAGCUCUUUUCGCGCAACUCCAUUAUUUCAAUCACUGCUUUAUGGUCCGUUGUUCGUCUUCCGCUUCUCCCAUUGCCUCUCGUGUUUUUUUCCAAAGAGGGGGAGAAAGAAAAAAAGUUUAAAUUGCCCUUUUAUGUCUAGAUGCGUUUUUCUUCUUUGUCUCUUUUUGUUCUGAGCGCCUGCUUAUUUUUUUGCCAUUUUGGUCUGAUGUAUUUGCUCUGACGUUGCUUUCUGCUUGCUGCUUGAUGGUCCUAUGCAAAGACUUGGCCUCCUCAGUCGCUCCAGGUUGUUCUCGUCUGCAAGGGAUAGAGAGCAGAAGGAGCUCUUCGUCUGAUUUGUUUCGCGAUAGGCUUGCUACUGGAUUGAAAAGGUGGAGUUUGCUCUAUACGCUGUUUGGGCCAUGCCUAGGCUGUCUCAGGAUUGAACUCAACUUUUCUG